rfam:Nematostella vectensis strain CH2 x CH6 NEMVEscaffold_231_Cont19841, whole genome shotgun sequence.
GCCCGGUUAGCUCAGAUGGUAGAGCAUCAGACAUUUAAUCUGAGGGUCAUGGGUUCGAGCCCCAUAUCGGGCG